GACGAACGCUGGCGGCGUGCUUAACACAUGCAAGUCGAACGGAGUGGCGAACGGGUGAGUAACACGUGGGUGACCUGCCCUGCACUUCGGGAUAAGUCUGGGAAACUGGGUCUAAUACAGGAUAGGGUGGGAUGGGCCCGUGGCCUAUCACCUUGUUGGUGGGGUAAUGGCCUACAAAGGCGGCGACGGGUAGCCGGCCUGGGAGGUUGGACGGCCACAUGGGGACUGCGAGACGGCCCAGACUCCUACGGGGGGCAGCAGGGGGGAAUAUGGCACAAUGGUCGGAAGUGUGAUGCAGCGACGUCGGGUGGGGGAUGACGGCCUUGGGGUUGUGAACUCCUUUCACCAUCGACGCGGUAGAUGGAGAAGAAGCACCGGCUAACUACGUGCCAGCAGCCGCGGUAAUAC
rnacentral:rRNA from 1 species